UACGAAGGGGGCUAGCGUUGCUCGGAAUGACUGGGCGUAAAGGGCGCGUAGGCGGAUGGCACAGUCAGAUGUGAAAUUCCUGGGCUUAACCUGGGGGCUGCAUUUGAGACGUGUGAUCUGGAGUGAGGAAGAGGGUUGUGGAAUUCCCAGUGUAGAGGUGAAAUUCGUAGAUAUUGGGAAGAACACCGACGGCGUAGGCAGCGCCCUAGACGAGACCUGACGCUCAGGCACGAAAGCGCGGGGAGCGAACAGG
rnacentral:rRNA from 1 species